GGCCGUUUGGCUCAAUGGUAGAGCGUCCGCCUCCUACAAGAGAGGCAGCAUAGCGGAAGGCUGUGGGUUCGAGUCCCAUGAUGGUCA